AUGACAAAAUCAGAGUUGAGAAAUUUCUCCUUCAUUCCUCCUUCUCCAUCCAAACAAACACCAACCACACUCUUCCACAGCUUUUUUCUGAUCCACGACCACAAACCGUCGGAAACCACUUCAAACACUCACCUAAAAACUAUAAACAGCAGAAAGAGAAAAACGAAUAUCAACAACAUCCACGUAGAGAAAAACAAAUAUAGAACAAUGCAGAGAACAUCCUUCAAAGAAGAAUCAGAAAUAAUACCGAAAAUAAAGAACAGUUAG